GUCCACGCCGUAAACGAUGAGUGUUAGGUGUCUGGAGUCAAAUCUGGGUGCCGCAGCAAACGCAUUAAACACUCCGCCUGGGGAGUACGCACGCAAGUGUGAAACUCAAAGGAAUUGACGGGGACCCCGCACAAGCAGCGGAGCAUGUGGUUUAAUUCGACGCAACGCGAAGAACCUUACCAAGUCUUGACAUAUUACAGAAGCAGUUAGAGAUAAUUGCUUACAUCUUCGGAUGACUGUAAUACAGGUGGUGCAUGGUUGUCGU
rnacentral:rRNA from 1 species